UACGUAGGUGGCAAGCGUUGUCCGGAUUUAUUGGGCGUAAAGAGCUCGUAGGCGGCUUGUCGCGUCGACUGUGAAAUCCCGCGGCUCAACUGCGGGUCUGCAGUCGAUACGGGCAGGCUAGAGUUCGGUAGGGGAGACUGGAAUUCCUGGUGUAGCGGUGAAAUGCGCAGAUAUCAGGAGGAACACCGAUGGCGAAGGCAGGUCUCUGGGCCGAUACUGACGCUGAGGAGCGAAAGCGUGGGGAGCGAACAGG
rnacentral:rRNA from 1 species